rnacentral:rRNA from 1 species
UACGAAGGGGGCUAGCGUUGCUCGGAAUUACUGGGCGUAAAGGGAGCGUAGGCGGAUAGUUAAGUUGGGGGUGAAAGCCCGGGGCUCAACCUCGGAAUUGCCUUCAAUACUGGCUAUCUAGAGUAUGGGAGAGGUGUGUGGAACUCCGAGUGUAGAGGUGAAAUUCGUAGAUAUUCAGAAGAACACCAGUGGCGAAGGCGACACACUGGCCCAUUACUGACGCUGAGUCUCGAAAGCGUGGGGAGCAAACAGG